rnacentral:ncRNA from 1 species
UAAAGGCCUGGUCCUGACUUUACUGUCGGCUUUAGCUAAAUUUAUACAUGCAAGUAUCCGCACCCCUGUGAGAAUGCCCUCAUAGUCUUCUGCCCGAAGACAAGGAGCUGGUAUCAGGCACAACCCCUCCCUUAGCCCACGACGCCUUGCUUAGCCACACCCCCAAGGGAAAUUCAGCAGUAAUAAACCUUAAGCCAUGAGUGAAAACUUGACUUAGUAAAAGCUAAGAGGGCCGGUAAACCUCGUGCCAGCCACCGCGGUUAUACGAGGGGCCCAAGUUGACAGAAAACGGCGUAAAGCGUGGUUAAGGAACAAACCUAAACUAAAGCCGAAUGACUUCAGAGCAGUUUUAAGCAUCCGAAAACACGAAGCCCCCCCACGAAAGUGGCUUUACUACCCCUGACCCCACGAAAGCUAUGGCACAAACUGGGAUUAGAUACCCCACUAUGCUUAGCCGUAAAAAUUGAUAGGAGAAUUCACCACCACCCCCUAUCCGCCCGGGAACUACGAGCGUCAGCUUAAAACCCAAAGGACUUGGCGGUACUUUAGACCCCCCCUAGAGGAGCCUGUUCUAUAACCGAUAAUACCCGUUAAACCUCACCCUCCCUUGUUCAAUCCCGCCUAUAUACCGCCGUCGCAAGCUUACCCUGUAAAGGACCCAUAGUGAGCUCAAUUGGCACAGCCCCAAACGACAGGUCCAGGUGUAGCGUAUGAGAGGGGAAGAAAUGGGCUACAUUCGCUGACUCAGCGAACACGAACGAUGUUUAACUGAAACGUUCAUCCGAAGGAGAAUUUAGCAGUAAGUGGAAAACAGAGUGUUCCACUGAAGCCGGCUCUGAAGUAUGCACACACCGCCCGUCACUCUCCCCAAACACCCACUUUAACACAUAACUAAUAUGCUUUAAACCACAAGGGGAGGCAAGUCGUAACAAGGUAAGUGUACCGGAAGGUGCACUUGGACAACAGACAU